UACGUAGGGUGCAAGCGUUGUCCGGAAUUAUUGGGCGUAAAGAGCUCGUAGGCGGUCUGUCGCGUCGGCUGUGAAAACUCGGGGCUCAACCCCGAGCCUGCAGUCGAUACGGGCAGACUAGAGUGCGGUAGGGGAGACUGGAAUUCCUGGUGUAGCGGUGAAAUGCGCAGAUAUCAGGAGGAACACCGGUGGCGAAGGCGGGUCGCUGGGCCGUAACUGACGCUGAGGAGCGAAAGCGUGGGGAGCAAACAGG
rnacentral:rRNA from 1 species